rnacentral:rRNA from 1 species
UACGGAGGUCUCAAGCGUUGUUCGGAUUCAUUGGGCGUAAAGGGUGCGUAGGCGGCGCGGUAAGUCGGGUGUGAAAUCUCGGAGCUUAACUUCGAAACUGCAUUCGAUACUGCCGUGCUUGAGGACUGGAGAGGAGACUGGAAUUUACGGUGUAGCGGUGAAAUGCGUAGAUAUCGUAAGGAAGACCAGUGGCGAAGGCGGGUCUCUGGACAGUUCCUGACGCUGAGGCACGAAGGCCAGGGGAGCAAACGGG